rnacentral:rRNA from 1 species
UACGUAGGGUGCAAGCGUUGUCCGGAAUUAUUGGGCGUAAAGAGCUCGUAGGCGGUCUGUCACGUCGGCUGUGAAAACCCGGGGCUCAACUCCGGGCCUGCAGUCGAUACGGGCUGGCUUGAGUGCGGUAGGGGGAGACUGGAAUUCCUGGUGUAGCGGUGGAAUGCGCAGAUAUCAGGAGGAACACCAAUGGCGAAGGCAGAUCUCUGGGCCGUAACUGACGCUGAGGAGCGAAAGCAUGGGGAGCGAACAGG